rnacentral:rRNA from 1 species
CCCUUAGAUGUCCUGGGCCGCACGCGUGCUACACUGACGCCUACAGCGAGUACUUCCCAGCCCCGAGAGGCGGCUGGUAAUCAGCAAUAGGCGUCGUGAUGGGGAUAGAUCUUUGGAAUUCUGGAUCUUGAACGAGGAAUGCCUAGUAAGCGCAGGUCAUUAGCCUGCGCUGAUUACGUCCCUGCCCUUUGUACACACCGCCCGUCGCUCCUACCGAUUUCGAGUGGUCCGGUGAAUCUUUCGGACUGCGCGCAGCUUCGUGCCGUGUCGCGGAAAGUCAGGUAAACCUANUNACUUAUNGGAAGGACAANUCGUANCA